rnacentral:ncRNA from 1 species
UGCCGAAAAAAAUCCGACGUAUCGGGAAUCACAACGCCGGAGGGAAAUCUGUAAAUUAUUUGGCGGGUGGGAGCUAUUAGUACCUGAAUUCUGGGAAGCAGACGGAGCGGAUUGGUAUAAAGUCUUAAGACGGCGUGCAGUAAGAUUCCAAAAGGAACUAGGCAAACCCAGGGCCCGACUGUUUACCAAAAAACGUAGCCCUCAGCCCACCAAGUGUUGAAGGUGAUGCCCGCCCAGCCACACCACGUUCAACGGCCGCGGUAUCCUCACCGUGCGAAGGCAGCGCAAUCCGUUGUCUCAUAAAUCGAGCCCUGUAUGAACGGCUAAACGAGGGCUUAACUGUCUCUCGCGGGCAAUCAGUGAAAUUGAUCUUCCUCUGCAAAAGCAGGAAUACGCGCGUAAGACGAGAAGACCCUGUGGAACUUAAAAAUCACAAGCCACGACACGCAAACUCAACCCUACCAGGCCCACUCAACCGUCAAACACCCGGCUUCCAUUUUUCGGUCGGGGCGACCUUGGUGAAAAACAAAUCCUCCAAAAAUAAGGCCGUAAAGCCCUAACCAAGAGCAACAUCUUGACGUGCCAAAAGCACCCAGACCCAAUACCCUUGACCAAUGAAGCAAGCUACCCCGGGGAUAACAGCGCAAUCUCCCCCAAGAGCCCAUACCGACAGGGAGGUUUACGACCUCGACGUUGGAUCAGGACAUCCUAAGGGUGCGGCAGCUAUUAAGGGUUCGUUUGUUCAACGAUUAACAGUCCUACGUGAUCUGAGUUCAGACCGGACCUGGAAACGGAUCCAACAGCAAAAGUAGGC